rnacentral:rRNA from 1 species
CCUACGGGAGGCAGCAGUGAGGAAUAUUGGUCAAUGGUCGGGAGACUGAACCAGCCAAGCCGCGUGCGGGAGGAAGGUACAGAGUAUCGUAAACCUCUUUUGCCAGGGAACAAAGACUGGGACGCGUCCCCGGAUGAGUGUACCUGAAGAAAAAGCAUCGGCUAACUCCGUGCCAGCAGCCGCGGAAAUACGGAGGAUGCGAGGUUUACCCGGAUUUAGUGGGUUUAAGGGGUGCGCAGGCGGUCUGUUCAGUCAGCGGUAAAAGCCCGGGGCUCAACCCCGGCCCGCCGUUGAAACUGGCAGUCUCGAGUUGGAGAGAAGUAUGCGGAAUGCGCGGUGUAGCGGUGAAAUGCAUAGAUAUCGCGCAGAACUCCGAUUGCGAAGGCAGCAUGCCGGCUCCACACUGACGCUGAGGCACGAAAGCGUGGGUAUCGAACAGGAUUAGAUACCCUUGUAGUC